CUCCUCUGUCUGUGUGACCCCAUGGACUGUGGCCCAUCAGGCUCCUCUGUCCAUGGGAUUUCCCAGGCAAGAAAACUGGAGUGGGUGGCCAUUUCCUCCUCUAGGGGAUCUUCUCGACCCAGGGAUCUGAACGACAUCUCCUGAGUUUCCUUCCAUUGGCAGGGGGAGCCUUUACCACUGCACCACCUGGGAAGCCCCUGACUAAGGACAACUGCUGGCAAUUAUCCAGAUGAUUCCAAUGGGGAGUGGAACAGCAGGCAGACAAGGUUCUCAGCCUUCUCUGGGGCUAACUUCAUGAUCAAUCUUUGGACAAAGAGCAGAUGCUCCAUGAUCUACAACCAGAGGAUUAACACCAGCUUAUAGUCACUCAACAAACUAAGUCAGACGACAAGUUUGUUUCUUCUAGAAUACAAAUAAAAUCUCCAGAUGCUGAUGCAACAAGCUGGUUGACACAUGGACCUCACGAGAACAAGCGGCUUUCUCAUUCCACAGACGCUCAUCUCUCUCCAAAAAUGCACCCUGACAGUGUGGGCAUUGGGACCAGGACCCCACGACCCUCCUGUCCAGCAGGAAGAAGCCAGAGCAGUUUCUGCCCCUUUCCCCAAUGACUCGGGUCCCCACAUCGCAAGAGAGGAUAGGCAGGUAGUUAGACAUGAGCAGGGUAUAAAGGGGCCAAAGAUUUGGCCCAUUAAUAAGAGGGGGGAACACUGAAUCCUGCCCCAGGGCACAGGUGUGAGGUCUUGCACCAAGGCCACAGAAGCAGAGCCCAGAACCAAAGUCACCUCGAAAGCUGACUGUCCCACUUUAUAACUGUUGCCAAAAACCCCCUGCUGCUGCUGCUGCUGCUGCUGCUGCUAAGUCACUUCAGUCAUGUCUGACUCUGUGCAACCCAACGGACAGCAGCCCACCAGGCUCCCCCGUCCCUGGGAUCCUCCAGG